rnacentral:rRNA from 1 species
GCGAACGCUGGCGGCAGGCCUAACACAUGCAAGUCGAACGAACUCUUCGGAGUUAGUGGCGGACGGGUGAGUAACACGUGGGAACGUGCCUUUUGGUUCGGAAUAACUCAGGGAAACUUGUGCUAAUACCGAAUGUGCCCUUCGGGGGAAAGAUUUAUCGCCAUUAGAGCGGCCCGCGUCUGAUUAGCUAGUUGGUGAGGUAACGGCUCACCAAGGCGACGAUCAGUAGCUGGUCUGAGAGGAUGACCAGCCACACUGGGACUGAGACACGGCCCAGACUCCUACGGGAGGCAGCAGUGGGGAAUCUUGCGCAAUGGGCGAAAGCCUGACGCAGCCAUGCCGCGUGAAUGAUGAAGGUCUUAGGAUUGUAAAAUUCUUUCACCGGGGACGAUAAUGACGGUACCCGGAGAAGAAGCCCCGGCUAACUUUGUG